UCAGGAUGAACGCUAGCUACAGGCUUAACACAUGCAAGUCGAGGGUAGCAGGGUAGCAAUACCGCUGACGACCGGCGCACGGGUGAGUAACACGUAUCCAACCUUCCCAUAACUCAGGGAUAGCCUUUCGAAAGAAAGAUUAAUACCUGAUAGUACUUUUUCAAGGCAUCUUGAAAAAGUUAAAGAUUUAUUGGUUAUGGAUGGGGAUGCGCUCCAUUAGAUAGUUGGUGAGGUAACGGCUCACCAAGUCUUCGAUGGAUAGGGGUUCUGAGAGGAAGGUCCCCCACAUUGGUACUGAGACACGGACCAAACUCCUACGGGAGGCAGCAGUGAGGAAUAUUGGUCAAUGGGCGAGAGCCUGAACCAGCCAAGUAGCGUGAAGGAAUGAAGGUCCUAUGGAUUGUAAACUUCUUUUAUAGUAGAAUAAAGUGAGCCACGUGUGGUUUUUUGUAUGUAUACUAUGAAUAAGGAUCGGCUAACUCCGUGCCAGCCGCAGC
rnacentral:rRNA from 1 species